ACACAGUGGAAAAAACAAAAUUUCGGAAGAAAUUUAGCCGGGGCCUGCCAAGGCGCGCCCGGGGGGUUUGGGCCCGGCGUCGUCUCGCUACAAAUCGGCAUCGACGCUAAAGAACGCCGCAACGUAAUCAGUGGCACGCGGAGAACCGCAAGAACGUUAAGCGAGGCGGACGUGCACCAUUCGGUAUGAUUUAAAAUGUUGUCAAGGCUAGUCAUUUAGUCAGUUUUCCACACUGUCAUUUCUUACUCAUCUUCAUUGAAAUACUGCAGACACAACCUCAGUUUUUAAAUUCAAGCUGAAAAGUUCAAAGUGUAACU